rnacentral:rRNA from 1 species
AUUGUGGUUUAUGUUCUCUAUUUUACAAUUGUGGUUUGGGCUUUUGUAAGCCAAAAGCCGCGGAGCUGCGCUGCCAGUGACACCGGCAGCGGAGCGGCAGAACUAUGUGUUCUUAUCUCUUAUAUGUUAAUAUGUAUAUGCUCAGCGCUGUUGGCAGCGAGAGCGCGAGGGAAGAUAUAUGUGUGUAUGCAUGUAUAUUAGUGCCGUCAAGUCAUGGGAACAUGCUGACGCUGCACUUGGGUCGCUCGAGGCAUUCUUGAGUGAAUCGUAAUACGAUCACCCAGAAUGUCUGGGACUUUAUUGUUACGUAAACACUGAAACAAAGUGUUACAGUGUGUAUUCUUUAAGUGCCGUCGGUACAGUGGGUAUUCGAAAUAAUGAAUACUUUACUUUACUUCAAUAUGAGCAUACUACACUAUACCUUUAUGUAUGUAAGCGUAUUACCGUGGAGUUCUUAUAUAUAAUUAAGUACUUGUAUUUUUUAUAUAUUCCUCCUAUUUAAAAACCUGCAUUAGUGCUCUUCAUCGAGUGUUAUUGUGGCCGGUACAAUUACUUUGAACAAAUUAGAGUGCUUAAAGCAGGCUUCAAAUGCCUGAAUAUUCUGUGCAUGGGAUAAUGAAAUAAGACCUCUGUUCUGCUUUCAUUGGUUUUCAGAUCAAGAGGUAAUGAUUAAUAGAAGCAGUUUGGGGGCAUUAGUAUUACGACGCGAGAGGUGAAAUUCUUGGACCGUCGUAAGACUAACUUAAGCGAAAGCAUUUGCCAAAGAUGUUUUCAUUAAUCAAGAACGAAAGUUAGAGGUUCGAAGGCGAUCAGAUACCGCCCUAGUUCUAACCAUAAACGAUGCCAGCUAGCAAUUGGGUGUAGCUACUUUUAUGGCUCUCUCAGUCGCUUCCCGGGAAACCAAAGCUUUUGGGCUCCGGGGGAAGUAUGGUUGCAAAGAUGAAACUUAAAGGAAUUGACGGAAGGGCACCACCAGGAGUGGAGCCUGCGGCUUAAUUUGACUCAACACGGGAAAACUUACCAGGUCCGAACAUAAGUGUGUAAGACAGAUUGAUAGCUCUUUCUCGAAUCUAUGGGUGGUGGUGAUGGCCGUUCUUAGUUCGUGGAGUGAUUUGUCUGGUUAAUUCCGAUAACGAACGAGACUCAAAUAUAUUAAAUAGAUAUCUUCAGGAUUAUGGUGUUGAAGCUUAUAUAGCCUUCAUUCAUGGUGGCAGUAAAAUGUUUAUUGUGUUUGAAUGUGUUUAUAUAAGUGGAGCCGUACCUGUUGGUUUGUCCCAUUAUAAGGACACUAGCUUCUUAAAUGGACAAAUUGCGUCUAGCAAUAAUGAGAUUGAGCAAUAACAGGUCUGUGAUGCCCUUAGAUGUCCUGGCUGCACGCGCGCUACAAUGAAAGUAUCAACGUGUAUUUCCUAGACCGAGAGGUCCGGGUAAACCGCUGAACCACUUUCAUGCUUGGGAUUGUGAACUGAAACUGUUCACAUGAACUUGGAAUUCCCAGUAAGUGUGAGUCAUUAACUCGCAUUGAUUACGUCCCUGCCCUUUGUACACACCGCCCGUCGCUACUACCGAUUGAAUUAUUUAGUGAGGUCUCCGGACGUGAUCACUGUGACGCCUUGCGUGUUACGGUUGUUUCGCAAAAGUUGACCGAACUUGAUUAUUUAGAGGAAGUAAAAGUCGUAACAAGGUUUCCGUAGGUGAACCUGCGGAAG